AUAGGUUCUUAGAAUGUUCUGAGCGGUACAGCUGCCGAGGUGGUAGCAAUUGUCGAGGCCUCUGACCACUCCAGCUGUUCUGAAGGGGACAGUGUCAAAUGGAUACAGAGAUAUGCAUAUAGGCGAUAUUUGCGGACAGUUCCAUCGGAUGGGGCUGGUCUAAAUGGCAAAUAGACAGCGUGGGCCCUCCUGGAUCCCGCUCUGUAUGUGCCCCUGGCUUCGUUCCUGCUGCUCCCACACUGCACCUUAUGCUGGGGCCUGAUCUUUGUUUGUGGAUUCCUGGACCAGCCUCACUGUUGAACAGUAUGUCUUUGCUCCUACUUUUCCUUGGACAUUUUCACCUGGCCAAUUCCUACAGGUCUUUCAAGAAUAAACUCAACUGUCAACUCUUCAAGAAAGGGUGCCCAGAGCCUCAUCUCUGGGCUUCUAUAACCUCGUAGCAGUGAUUAUAUUAUAUUGCAAAGUCCUACUUAUGUGGUCAUCUGCCUCCAAAUAGCUCCUGACCCCCAGCCAUUCUGGCCUCCACUCCCGUCUUGAACCAAAGGCAGAGAAUAUAUUCUAUUCAUUUUUGUGCUGCAGAAUCUAGCGGCAUCUGAACAGAGGUAAAGCUCAAUAAACAUUGAAUGAAUCA